CCGGAGUCACAAGGGUAUCAAUUAGCACCUGUUCGUUACCGAGCCCAGCACCGGCACAAAGGAAGCAAACAGCCUCGGUCGCCCGAUUUGGAUCACUUUUGGCAGAGCUCUGGCUGUGCAGACGCCACCUUCAUACUCACCCUCCUCCUCGCCAGCCCAUCCGUCCCCGGUGCCUCCAGCCAGCCAGCGAGGACGGGCCAGCCCUGUGCCAGUGACCCAACUGCCAUUCCAGCCCUCCCCUCUGUCUUCCUCGCGGGAAAUGAUCUGCCUGCCAAUGUGGACCAAAGGCAGACAGCUCUGCGCUUCAGUCUUCCCUGUUGCCAUAAUCAAUGGACAUAAAUAUUGCUAAGUAACUGAACUCCUAAGUAACUGCUUAGUAAGUGAAUUACUGCUUAAUUGCAUAAAAAUGCUAAGAAAUUCAUUUUCUGGGUGAUAGCACUUCUGAUCUAGCUUUCAAACAUGACUUACUAACAAUAGUAAAAUUAUUCUCCUGAAGAAACUGAGUCGUUAACGUCAAGCAAUUCGUUUGUGUUAGGACUGGGACACAGUUUAGUACAAUCACUUUGCAAUACGUUUCCCAGAAUAAAGGCUGGGAUCUGGAACAGCAGGCUCCGGCCUCUGCCAAGACCAUCGCGUGGUGGCUGCGGCAGAUAGAUAUUAGCUGCAGCAAAUAUCUAAUAUUCUCAGCAAAAAAAAAAAGUGUUAUAAGUAUAAGCAUCAUCACAGACUAUUUCCCACUCUGGCCCUCCCCUUCAUCUGCUCGGACGCUGCCCGCUGCAGAGGCACGGGGACACUUUUGGUUUGUGUCUUCAGCGGGGUUCACUGUUGAGGCCAUACAAUGAAGACACAACCAUGGAGCUCUUUAUGGUCAUAUGCAACUGCUUUACAAACCUCUCCCAGCACAUCUUCACAAGAUGUUCAUCUUGAAAAAUCGCCAUCCAAAUUGGAAUAGUCUGGUACAAGUUCAGCAGCUGAAACAAGGGCUUUAUAACAGCAAGGGCUGGAAAAUCACAGCACAACUGCUUCCAGCCCUGGUCCUGAGGGAUGGCUCUGCCCAGAGCGGAGGCAACAGGUUGGUAACGGAGUAGCUCCAUCCACGUCUGUCCAAGAGGCUCGUGUGACGUCUGGCAGUCAGCAGCCUCUCCCAGGGAGCGUCAGACCGGCCGGACCUGCUCACACUCGCUCCCUGUGGCCCAGCCCGCUCAACAGCAUAAAUCGCCUCGGUGCUUCUUCUACUCAGCUCUGGGAGAAAUGUCCCUGCUUUGUCACUGCCUGUGACCUUGGGCUUGCCGCAGCCAGCUUGUUUCUCCCAUGGACGAAGCGCCCCUCACCCUGUGUGUGCCCAGUCGAGCCCCCACCCGCCCGCCGUGAGCUUCGCAGAGCAUCUCAGCUGCUCGUGAGGAGCCGCCCCGGGCAUCCAGCCGCAGUCGGGAGCCUCUGGGGACUGAGCCACUCGCCCGGGCCUCAGCCACCGAGGGCUGCCUUCCAGCACCCAGCCCGGGGGUCACCGUGACGUGAAGGAGGUGAAAGCGAAGCCGAGCGGAUGGCUGCGGGAUGCCACUGGCACAUCUGCCGGGGCUCUGCGAUGGCGAGCUGCAUGCUCGCUGUCCCUGUCGCCCCGCGGCUGGCAGGGCACAGCAGAUUGCUCCGCGAGGCACCUCACUGAAAAGCAAAGCAAAGCAAAGCAAUUCAAAUCAUCUGAGUCACUGAAACCUUGACAGGGCCUGGCUACUGAGCAGCCAGCAGUUUCUUGCCUGUGUUGCAAGGAAAUAACUUAUGUCCCUGGGAUGGAGAGCAAAAUGAAUGAGAAGCAGUGGCUUUCAUUGAGUAGAAGAGCUCCUCAUGGCUCUCCAAGAGCUGUCUCUGGUAGGCAUAGCCCACGGUGAGGUGCAUGAUCUCCACCUGCACCUCCAAGAUCCAGCAGGCACCAGCAGCCCUCUCACCAUGGCAGCGUCACUGCUGCCACGCAAAACACGGAGGCCAGCAGAGGCUCAGAAGUGCCUUCCCGCUGCUGGUCUCCUGGAGCUGAGGAUGCUCUUCCUAUCGAAUUACUUCAGGAAUUUGGUCUGCGUUAGGAGACUGACACCAUUGAUACCAGAACACAUCCAGAGCAACACAAUCAGAUAUGACAUUGCAAAGCUAUUAGGCAUUUGAGAAAGGCAGUGCAGCUUCCUUCCUCAGCUGCUGAUGCUCAGGCAACAUGCCCUAAAGCAGAGUGUGACCAGGCAUCAGCACAUCUCCGCAUGGAUGAUCUCUGGAGUCCUCGUGUUUGCUUGGGACCCUGCAAACUCCAGAAGUGGUAUGUAUUUAAUAUGAAGCUCAUAGCAGCACAACAGGCAGUGUGGCUGGUGCAGCAUCCCCACAGAGAGAGCCUGGAGGAGAAAACCGGGCAGGCUUUGAGCCCUUGACUGAGAAAAGUUAUCGAAGUAUCCAACACUGUAUGGAUUAAUAAACUCAUGGCACCCAUGUGUACAUACAA